GUGUAGCUCAGUGACAGGGCACUUGCCUGGAAUGCAUGAGGCUGAGUUCAAACCUCAGCAC
rnacentral:tRNA from 1 species